rnacentral:rRNA from 1 species
ACGGAGGGUGCGAGCGUUGUUCGGAAUCACUGGGCGUAAAGGGCGUGUAGGCGGUCCGCUAAGUCUGAUGUGAAAGCCCGGGGCUCACCCCCGGAAGUGCAUUGGAAACUGGUGGACUCGAGUCCCGGAGAGGAGGGUGGAAUUCCUGGUGUAGCGGUGAAAUGCGUAGAUAUCAGGAGGAACACCGGUGGCGAAGGCGGCCCUCUGGACCAUAACUGACGCUGAGGCACGAAAGCGUGGGGAGCAAACAGGA